CCCUUAGAUGUCCUGGGCUGCACGCGCGCUACACUGAUGCGUCCAAUAAGCACCUAACCUAAUCCGAAGGGACCGGGUAACCUUAGCAAAGCGCAUCGUGAUGGGGAUAGAUUAUUGCAAUUAUUAGUCUUGAACGAGGAAUUCCUAGUAAACGCAGAUCAUCAAUCUGCAUUGAUUACGUCCCUGCCCUUUGUACACACCGCCCGUCGCACCUACCGAUUGGAUGGUCCGGUGAAGCCUCGGGAUUGUGGUUCUUGCCGCUUUAUUGUGGCGUGACCGCGAGAACUUGUCUAAACCUUAUCAUCUAGAGGAAGGUGAAGUCGUAACA
rnacentral:rRNA from 1 species